ACCACAAUACACUCCUUAGAAAUGAGCGAUACACACUAAAACAGACAAAAAAAUAAACAAAAAUAGAUCUAGAAACUGGGAGAAAAAGGGUAGAGCCUUCUUCUUCUUCAUUUCAAGUGUCCCAUUUUUUAUUUUUCUUUUUUUUUUUAAAUAACUACUACAAAAUGAGCCAAGUUUGAGUCGAAGUUCGAGGUCGCCGGAAAGUUCGCGUUCGUGGUCUGUUUUCGUCGUCCUUAAGGUUUUUCCCUUUCACCUCAUGCUGCAGUGAAAUUUCUGCCUUGUUUAGAAAAUAUUGUAUUGCUCUUGGGUUUACUUGUUUAGUUGAAUUUAGCAUCUUUUUUCGAAAAAAUAUUUGAAAAGCACACUCAAGGCCCACUUUCUUGUUCAUUACUGCUAGUUUCAUAUUUUUGUUUGCCUUUGUUAAUAGCUUUGAAUGUUUGACGUGUUUAUUUCAUUAACUUUUUAUACAAAUUAUUUUUUGUUGGCUAUUGUAUUUGGAUAAAGUUAGAAAUAGCAAGAACACUGAAAGGAAUGAUUGAAUAUUUGGCCAUGUGUUUUAAGAUUUACAAAGCUAAAUGAUGAAUUGGGAAAUGGACGGCUGAAGGAAAAUUUAGGUCGAAAGUUUCAUUAAAGUUAUCUUUUUCAAAUUUUCGGGUCUUGAAACCUGGGUUUGAAGAGGAGUUGUAAAAGAUUUCGCUGUGGUUGCUGUAUUGUCUCUGCAAUUUUUAGAUUUUCUUUAUAUUAGUCUCACUCUCUCUAGAUGGUAUGUAAUUUUCUGGUUUUGUUGUGAGCAUCAAGUAAGUGAAGUUUGAUCCAUUCAUGAUAAAUCUACGUGGGAUAUUCUUGUUCGUUCAUUCUUUAAGUUUGAUUAUUACACAUCUUCAUCAAUGUUAUGACAUAAAUGCUUGCCUCAAUUGAAUGUUAAGCUGUUUAAGUUAAUAAAUUUAUAUUUAGAUGGGGUUGCAGUUUUGGAUUGUACUUAUUCCACUGAUUUUGAGCAACUUUCACCUAGAUUGUAUGGUUAAUGAUAUUUUAUUAUUUAAAGAAGUGGAGGUGCACAGGGUAUAUAAAAAAUGCAUGUUUAUUUGGGAUCCUGUCCUAUUUUCGUGUUCAAAAUUUGAGAUUUAAGUAAAAAAAAUAUUUCGUAGUCAAAUUCGUCACUAAUUUGUAUGAUUCACGGAUGAAAUGCCGGCGUCAUUGGACAUUGUACUUCAUAGUUAAUUUGGUCAAUUAAAAAUAGAGGUGAAAUUGUGCCAGAGUCCUUUUUUUCGUGCUAGCAUUCAAUUGAAACUUAUUUACUGAAAUUGAUGUCAUAUUUAAAGUACAAUAGCCGAAUACUAUUAUGCUUAUUUUUAAUCUGGACUUUGUAAUAAUUUUAGGAAAUCAAGAAUGAUCAUGAUUGUAUCCGUUUGAAUAUAAAUUCUUUUACAAAAUAAAUUGAGGUGUGCCAUAUAUAGCCAAAUUAUACAAUUUAUGGCUCUUGUAAGUUAACUUAGAAAUCUUUUGGCUGGGAUAUAUUGAGGUGCGCCAUGACGAACAAAAUGACAAUUACAUGACCCUCAUUUUAAUUAGUCUUGUCUUGAUCCUUAGACUUCGAGGUGCGCUAUUUAGAAAAUUUUCAUGGCCCUCGCAAAGUUGCGAAUGCGUAGUUGCUUUAGGUUUGUUGUUUUAAUAAUUAACUUCCUUAAAUACGGGUGUGCAUUUCAUGUCACCCAAAUCUAAAUCUUAAUAAUGUUGGAAAAUAUGUGUUUCGCAUCGUGGGUGCUUUUCAUGUGGCACGAUCCAAAUACAUGUUUUAUACGAUGUUAAUCUUCUUUAAAAUUGAUUAAAAGCGAUAAAUGGUUAAAAUGCACACAGGUUCUUAAAAUCAGAUAAGUAAGCCAAUUAUAACAGUUGAGCUAUCGUGCUAGAACUACGGAAUCCGGGAAUCCCUAACACCUUCUCCCGGGUUAACAGAAUUCCUCACUUGGAUUUCUAUGUUCGCAGACAUAAAUAUAGUAAAAUCUUUCUUCAAUUCAGGACUCUAAACCAGUGACUUGGGACACCAUUAAUUAUUCCAAGUGGCGACUCUGAAUUUUAAAUAAAUAAUCCCGUUUCGAUUGUCACUUUAAGUUGGAAAAAACUCUUUUAUCUACGCCCUUUUGUGAGGGUAGUGUAAAAAAAAGGAGGUGUGACAUCUUUGGCGACUCUGCUGGGGACGCAGCACCUAGAACUUCGGUUCUGGGUUUAAGAAUUCGAGCUUCGAAUAGCUGUUAUGAUUGAUAUUAUCUGUUAUUUGAUUUUCCUGCAUGUUUGAGCCUAAUGUGAUAAAUGCUUUUGCUGCUUUGAUAUUUUGGUGAAUUUUGUAUAUAAACUGCUACGAAACCCUUCAUCACUCUGAGUCUUUUACAUCAUGGAAAAUGGCGCACUUCGUGUGACUUCUCUUCUGUUUAGAGUCUAAUCCUAUUUUAGAAUGAGGUUCGGACAAGUUGCUAAGCUGGCGAAGCUUUUCUAUUCCCGGUACGCUGCCCUCCCUCGGCUCGAGUUGUCCACUCGGGUAAGCCGAGUCUAGAACAAUAAAUCCGGAUUUUAAACCUAGUAUAACAAAGCCCCAUGCUGGAUCCCAAGUAGGAACAUUUUUUUGCAUCAUGUGCCUUUGACUUCGAGAACUCAACACAAGGAUCGGGUUCGUCUAGUACAGGUGUACCCAAAUUGAAAAGACCAUCCUGAUGCAUUCUUGCUACUUUGUGACGACCCGGCAGGUCAUUUUUGAAAUUUAUGCCCCGAUCCCCUAUUAACUUUUUCCCUAAGUUUAUUUAUGCAAUUUUAGUUUUUUGUCAUGGUCGGUGUUGGGUUUCGAAGAGUUUUGGGACACUUAGUUACUAGAUGAGAGCUCCAGUGUUGGAUUUUGGUCCGUAGACGGAACAGUGUGAAGACGACCUCAGAAUGGAAAUCUAAUGGUUCUGUUAUCUUUGUUAGGUGAUUUUAGGGUUGGCAGCAUGUUCGAAAUACAUUUUGGAGGUCCAUAUCUCAUUUAGGAUUGAAAUGCCGAAGUUUGAAUUUUGAAGAGUCCGGUCCGAUAUUGAGUUUUUGAUAUGAGGGUCGAAAUGGAAUUUCGGAAGUCGCAGUAGAUCCAUCAUGUUAUUUGGGACGUGUGUCCCACAUUUCAGGUCAUUCAGACAUGUGUUUGUUGGGUUUUUGAUCGAAAGUGUAUUUUGAUUAAACUAGAAGUUCUUAGGCUGAAAUCAUUGAAUUAAUCGAGUUUCUAAUGUUGUUUUAGGUGGUUUAAGGAUUGGCACAAGUUUGAAUGAGGUAUUAGGUGUUAUUGAUACUUUUGGUUGAGGUCCAUUGGGCGUCAGAAUGAUUUCGGGGGGGUUAUGAGGGAAGAUUGGAGAAGUGUUGCAGCAGCUGAACUAUUGCUGCUUCUUGUACUUUCGCAUCUGCGGCUUAAGAACCGCAGAUGUGGCGCCGCAGAAGCGGCUAAAAGGCCGUAGAAGUGGCUUUGCUUCCUUCCCUCAUAAACCGCAUAAGUGGUGCUAUUCCUGCCAAAGUUGAUCCACAGAAGCGGCUCAUGCAUCCGCAGAUGCGGGCUCCAGUGUUUCCUUUGUUACCGCAGAAGGAGCUCUUGUUCCGCAGAGGCAGGACUGCAGAUGGUGUCCCUUGGCCGCAGAAGCGAAAAUCCUUGUUCGAAAAUAAUAAAAUCGAGAGUUUUGAAAAUGUGAAAAUUAUUUGUUUCCAAGACAUUGGCCUGAGGGGUAUUUUGGUUAUUUUACCUAAUUUCACAUUUUAUGUUUGAAUUUAAUAAUAAAAUCAAUUGUUGGAGAUGUUAUUUAUGAUAUGUAAUUGAAUUGAAUAGAUUUGAGCCAUGUGGAGCCGGAUACUCAUGGCAAAAGUGUGGUUUCAAGAUGAAUUUGGAGCCGGUUUAAGGUAAGUGGCUUGUCUAACCUUGUGUGGAGGACCUUUCCCCUUGGGAAAUGUUAUUUGGUAAUUUAGUGCCUUGUACGUAAGGGGACGAGCGCAUACUUGAGCUAAUCAUUGGAAAUUCGAUUUUUACUCAAGAUAUCGAGACUGAGUUUCUUUUGUAUUUUCUUUAUUCUACAUGCAAUUAUAACAUGUUUUACACUAGAAAAACAUUUUUAGUUGAUUUAACUUGCCUACUUGCUUAAGUUGCCUUGACUGUAUUACAUGAAGCAGGUUAGGCUAGUACUACCUGUUGCUUGUCUCUUUGUAAUUCCUUUCUGAAUAUCUUCUAGUUGUGGUUGCAAAUUUACAUUGGGACUACGGAUGUGGGAUUGCGGUAGCUCCCCCUUGUUUGUCUACUUUGGGACUACGGGUUAGAUUCCCCCCUGCAUAUUUAUGUCGCGACUACGGGUUAGAUUCCCGAUAGAUCCCCUUGCACUUCACUUUGGGGCUACGUAUUAGAUUCUCGGUAGAUCCCCCUGUACAUUAAUAGAUGGACUACGUGACAGUAUCCCGAGAGCUCCUCAAAAAGUUGACGGAAUAGACUGCAUGACGGUAUCCUGGGAGACCCUCAUUUGGUAUUUCAGUAUUGAGCUAUACAUUUUUGUCUUUACUGUAUUCAUUGCUUAAUUGUUGCAUCCUCAUAUAUUCUGUCUUAUUUACUAUUAGUUCAUAUUAUUUCCAUCUUAUUGCAUACUGUACAUUCUUGUUAUAUUGUUUAACCUCAAUAGGGCCUUGACCUUCCUCAUCACUACCCGACUAAGGUUAGGCUUGACACUUACUGAGUACCGCUGUGGUGUACUCAUGCGUCUUCUGUGCAUGUUUUCAUGUGCAGACCAAUGUACUUAUUUUCAGUUGCACAAUCCUUGAGUCCAGGAGAGCUAU
rnacentral:lncRNA from 1 species